ACAAUUUAAGGGGAGGAACGGACAACAGCCGAAAAAGAGUAGGAGUCCUAGCUUCAUUCUUUUGAUGAACCGAGGAGGAGAUUGACCAGCCGUGAGUGAUGGAGAGUGAGAAACUGUCGGGCGACACACUUGAACCGUCGGGUGGCACACUUGAACCGCCGGGCGGUGGUCCGCUGGGCUUGGGCCUGUUCUCUGUUGCGCCUCUCACCUAUAAAUACCCCUAUUGCGAGUUCAGAGUCAUUCUUUUGAGAGGGGAGAACGNCCAGACCUAAUUUUGCUCUCUGGAGAGGAUCUCUUGGAUGCUNAGGCUCCUUUUCAUCUUUUCUAAGGUUUGCUUUUCCAUUCUUCUUCCAUUUUUCAUCUAGUUUCACCAUGUUUAUGGUGAACUAAACCCUAUUGUUGUUG
rnacentral:lncRNA from 1 species